UACGUAGGUGGCAAGCGUUGUCCGGAUUUAUUGGGCGUAAAGCGAGUGCAGGCGGUUCGAUAAGUCUGAUGUGAAAGCCUUCGGCUCAACCGGAGAAUUGCAUCAGAAACUGUCGAGCUUGAGUACAGAAGAGGAGAGUGGAACUCCAUGUGUAGCGGUGAAAUGCGUAGAUAUAUGGAAGAACACCGGUGGCGAAGGCGGCUCUCUGGUCUGUUACUGACGCUGAGGCUCGAAAGCAUGGGUAGCGAACAGGAUUAGAUACCCUGGUAGUC
rnacentral:rRNA from 1 species